UCAAGUGGGUCGGGAUAAUUAUUGGGGCUUAAAGUGUCCGUAGCCGGUUUAGUAAGUUCCUGGUAAAACCGGGCAGCUUAACUGUCCGUAUGCUAGGAAUACUGCUAUGCUAGAGGGCGGGAGAGGUCUGAGGUACUACAGGGGUAGGGGUGAAAUCUUAUAAUCCUUGUAGGACCACCAGUGGCGAAAGCGUCAGACUGGAACGCGCCUGACGGUGAGGGACGAAAGCCAGGGGAGCGAACCGGAUUAGAUACCCGGGUAGUCCUGGCCGUAAACGAUGCAUACUAGGCAAUGGUGCGGCCAUGAGCCGCAUCAGUACCGUAGGGAAACCGUUAAGUGUGCCGCCUGGGAAGUACGGUCGCAAGGCUAAAACUUAAAGGAAUUGGCGGGGGAGCACCACAAGGGGUGAAGCCUGCGGUUCAAUUGGACUCAACGCCGGGAAACUUACCAGGGGAGACAGCAGAAUGACAGUCAGGUUGACGACCUUACUCGACGAGCUGAGAGGAGGUGCAUGGCCGUCGCCAGUUCGUGCUGUGAGGUAUCCUGUUAAGUCAGGCAACGAACGAGAUCCGCGCCUUUAUUUGCCAUCAAGAAGUCACGACUUCGUUGGGAACACUAAAGGGACCGCCGUCGAUAAGACGGAGGAAGGAGCGGGCAAAGGCAGGUCAGUAUGCCCCGAAACCCCUGGGCUACACGCGGGCUGCAAUGGUGCGAACAAUGGGCUGUAACUCCGAAAGGAGAAACCAAUCCCGAAAUCGCAUCUCAGUGGGGAUUGUCGACUGUAACUCGUUGACAUGAACGUGGAAUCCCUAGUAAUCGCGUGUCACCAUCGCGCGGUGAAUACGUCUCUGCUCCUUGCA
rnacentral:rRNA from 1 species